CAAACUAUUGCAACUCUCAAUUCCCUGCUUCUCUUGAUUUUCUCUCCAUUUUCCAUCGAUCGCAUUGAUUUUGAAUCCUCUCAACUUUCUGCACGAAGAUCAUGAUGGGCAGUGUUGAUGGUAAAUGGGACGAUGAUGAGUAUUCUGUUAUUGGAGAUAAAGGUGAAGUUGGGUUCAUAGACUACCAAGAAGAUAAAUCUGUGUGCAGUUAUAAUCCGAAUGAAGAGGGUCCCAUCGUCAUUUCUGUCCCUUUCCCCUUUGAAGAUCGGAAACCUCGGUCAGUGUUUAUUGGAGAAACUGUUACGGAUUCAAUCACUAUUAAGAACACUACCACCGAAGCUGUGGAUUUAUGGACCAAAAUUUAUGCCUCCAAUCCUGAGAAUUCUUUUGCACUUUCUUUGAUGGAGCCUCCAUCAGCAAAUGGUGGGAAUGGCAGCCGUGGUUUUUUGGAGACUUAUGCCCUGGAGGACAGAAUGCUUCAACCUGGUG
rnacentral:misc_RNA from 1 species